rnacentral:tRNA from 2 species
UGGGGAGUAGCCAAGAGGUAAGGCAACGGACUUUGACUCCGUGAUGCGCAGGUUCGAAUCCUGCCUCCCCAGCCA